rnacentral:rRNA from 1 species
UCUGGUUGAUCCUGCCAGUAGUUAUAUGCUUGUCUCAAAGAUUAAGCCAUGCAUGUCUAAGUACACACGAAAUUAAAAGUGAAACCGCAAAGGCUCAUUAUAUCAGUUAUGGUUCCUUAGAUCGUUAACAGUUACUUGGAUAACUGUGGUAAUUCUAGAGCUAAUACAUGCAAUUAAAACAUGAACCUUAUGGGACAUGUGCUUUUAUUAGGCUAAAACCAGCGAUCGCAAGAUCGUUAUAUUGGUUGAACUCUAGAUAACAUGCAGAUCGUAUGGUCUUGUACCGACGACAGAUCUUUCAAUGUCUGCCCUAUCAACUUUUGAUGGUAGUAUCUAGGACUACCAUGGUUGCAACGGGUAACGGGGAAUCAGGGUUCGAUUCCGGAGAGGGAGCCUGAGAAACGGCUACCACAUCUAAGGAAGGCAGCAGGCGCGUAAAUUACCCACUCCAGCUCGGGAGGUAGUGACGAAAAAUAACAAUACAGGACUCAUAUCCGAGGCCCUGUAAUUGGAAUGAGUACACUUUAAAUCCUUUAACAAGGACCAAUUGGAGGGCAAGUCUGGUGCCAGCAGCCGCGGUAAUUCCAGCUCCAAUAGCGUAUAUUAAAGUUGUUGCGGUUAAAACGUUCGUAGUUGAACUUGUGCUUCAUACGGGUAGUACAACUUACAAUUGUGGUUAGUACUAUACCUUUAUGUAUGUAAGCGUAUUACCGGUGGAGUUCUUAUAUGUGAUUAAAUACUUGUAUUUUUUCAUAUGUUCCUCCUAUUUAAAAACCUGCAUUAGUGCUCUUAAACGAGUGUUAUUGUGGGCCGUACUAUUACUUUAACAAAUUAGAGUGCUUAAAGCAGGCUUCAAAUGCCUGAAUAUUCUGUGCAUGGGAUAAUGAAAUAAGACCUCUGUUCUGCUUUCAUUGGUUUUCAGAUCAAGAGGUAAUGAUUAUAGAAGCAGUUUGGGGGCAUUAGUAUUACGACGCGAGAGGUG